GUGCUCACUUUGGUGACACAUAAACCAAGCUAGAAUGAUACAGAGAAGAUUAGCAUGGCCCCAUGUAAGGAUGAUAUAAAAAUUUGUGAAGCAUUUCAUAUUUUA
ensembl:snRNA U6 U6 spliceosomal RNA